ensembl:lncRNA
CUUGAACUUCUCACUGAGUUGGUAUUUGAAUGUUAGCUUAACUUCAAGUUCAAAACAUACUUUAUUCGUUUUUUGGAACACUCUGUGGAUACUAAUAAGAAUGUCAAAAAGAAAGCAGCCAAACCUCAGUCAAUUUGGAUUUACAAAACAAACGAAGAGGAGUGAUGACAGCGCACCAGCUACAACUAGCUUGCCGGUGAUAACGCCGCCGCCGCUAAAAGUUGCUGCUAGUGACAGCACCAGCACAGAGGAUAGCGAGACUUUGGCGCCAGAAACCACCGCUGCGACCUGCAGCGGACCAGGCGAUCAUGAUCAUGCAACACCUUUCAACUGGACAACGAAGCAAUGGAGUGAGUGGAGAAUUCUUUUCUGCCGUGGAUUCUACUGACAGCAAGUAUCGCAACAAGUUGCGUGAACAAUGCCUCUGCUCGCUUCUCUUCGUGGAUCUGAAUGGACCCCCUUUGGAGCAAUUUGACCCUCUGCCUUUUGUAUCAUCUUGGAUUAAAGCCGGUCACCGACCCUCAACAUCCUGGGUUACAGGACGGAAAGCAAAGACAGAAGACCCCAGGCUUCUGUGGUCACUUCUGAUUUAAGGUGGUGGAGGAGCGUGAGGCAGAGAUGGAGAGCCCAUGAGCCAGGGUGACGAGGAGGAUCCGGAGGGCCAAGGCGGAGCAGAUGGCUCAGGCAACCGAGGCAGAGGCUGGGAUCCAGAAGGCCGUGGCGGAGCUGGAGCGACAGAGGACCAUGGAGGAGCCGAUGGGAAGAAGAAAGAAACUCAAACAGUUUUGAAACAACUUGAGGAUUUCUAAAUGGAAUGAAACAAUCUGAAUGUUCUUUUUACACAAAGUAAAAUGGAUACUUCCACAUUGCUCAUGGCUGUACUCAGGUGCACAGGACAGUAGUCUGGCAGCAUUGGCCCAUGGUUGUCUGAGCCAGCAGCAGCAUUUCAUGCUCCAGUGCCUUAAAGUAACCUUUGGACUCAGAUAUGAAGAGGAUAUGUAUGCUGAAAAUACAAGACUGCUGAAGUGAUGAGCAGAUGGAG